rnacentral:lncRNA from 1 species
GUUGGCGAUGUUCGGCAUAAAGCUAGCGGUUGAACAAAAUAAACAUCGCUGUAAUGAAUAAUAAAAAUGAAAAUGAAUUUGAGAUCGUUUGGCAAUUUUGCUAGAAUGUUAGAAAAAUCCAUGAAAAAAAACACCGGACAUUCGGACCGGAAUUCAACAAAAUUUUAGCAGACCGAUCCAUUAUUCACCGGAUUUGUCCGACGGUCCGACAUAUUUCGUGUAGUCUG